AACUAACGCUGGCGGCGUGGCUUAGGCAUGCAAGUCGAACGACAAAGUCCGCAAGGAUGAGUAAGUGGCGAAAGGGUGAGUAGUACUCAGGCAAUCUGCCCCUGGGACGGGGAUAGCCGCGGGAAACUGCGGGUAAUACCGGAUGGUCUCGCGUGGGCUGAGGCCCGUGCGUGUAAAGGGUGGGGAUCCGCAAGGACCUUCCGCCCGGGGAGGAGCUUGAGCCCUAUCAGGUAGUUGGCGGGGAACGGCCCACCAAGCCUACGACGGGUACCCGGACUGAGAGGUUGGCCGGGCACACUGGCACUGAGACACUGGCCAGACUCCUACGGGAGGCUGCAGUCGAGAAUUUUCCGCAAUGGGGGCAACCCUGACGGAGCGACGCCGCGUGGAGGAAGAAGGCCCUCGGGUUGUAAACUCCUGUCACGACUUACGAAUGCGCACGGCAUAACAACCGUGCGUUGACGAAGGGUCGGAAGGAGCCACAGCUAACUUCGUGCUAGCAGCCGCCGCUGUAAC
rnacentral:rRNA from 1 species